rnacentral:snRNA from 1 species
AACUUUAGUCGCUAAAUGA